GUGACAGGUCUGUACUGAUCUCUUUAUGAAAUAGCCGUUCCUACCAUUGAAAUGAAUAUAACUGGAACGCUACCCUCAGAUAAACUGCUUAUCUUUUUCUUGAAGGUCAUGGUGUUAGGACCCGCGUGUUUAUGCCUCGCGAUUCUCUCGUUCAGGGAGCGAACAUGCCGCAAUUAUUGGAAAAAGUAAGACAAAAAAAGCUAAAAGUAAAGUCUACUAGGACGUUUUACAUGAAUAAAUGUACGAUAAAAAGCUUUGCGCGCUGAUAAAAAGGCUUGUUUUUUUGUAAAUUUUAAGUCAGUUUUCAAGAGUAAAUAUUCAUGUUGACGGAUUGACUGUGCUCUUCGCAUGCGUGAAAAGACUGGGACUAGCCUUCAAGUUUCGCUUUAAAUUUCCUGUUGGAGGUAGCGUUCCAGUUAUAUUCAUUUCUCUGAUUCCUGCUGUUCAAUUACAUUUCGAA